UACGUAGGGUGCGAGCGUUAAUCGGAAUUACUGGGCGUAAAGCGUGCGCAGGCGGUUCUUUAAGACAGAUGUGAAAUCCCCGGGCUUAACCUGGGAAUUGCAUUUGUGACUGUAGAGCUAGAGUACGGCAGAGGGGGAUGGAAUUCCGCGUGUAGCAGUGAAAUGCGUAGAUAUGCGGAGGAACACCGAUGGCGAAGGCAAUCCCCUGGGCCUGUACUGACGCUCAUGCACGAAAGCGUGGGGAGCAAACAGG
rnacentral:rRNA from 1 species